rnacentral:sRNA from 1 species
CGCGAAAGUUUCUGUUUUUUAGAAGUAUAAAACCUAAAUUUAGCUACCCAGUAAUAUCGUAGUCUGCAACAUUUCUUUUAAAUUUAUUUUUUAUAGGUACUUAUAUGUCUAAAUUAACAGGUUCAGUAAAGUGGUUUAACGAGUCAAAAGGUUUUGGUUUUAUUUCUCAAGACCACGACAAGAAAGACGUUUUCGUUCACUUCCGUGCAAUCAAAUCAGACGGUUUCCGUACACUAGCUGAAGGCCAAAAAGUAAGCUUCACAGUGUCUCAAGGUCAAAAAGGCCUUCAAGCUGAAGACGUUGAAGUAAUCUAACUUCACCGCACGUGAGCGACGUUUUCGUCGCUCACAAAAA